rnacentral:rRNA from 1 species
GAUGAACGCUGGCGGCGUGCCUAAUACAUGCAAGUCGAGCGAACGGACGAGAAGCUUGCUUCUCUGAUGUUAGCGGCGGACGGGUGAGUAACACGUGGAUAACCUACCUAUAAGACUGGGAUAACUUCGGGAAACCGGAGCUAAUACCGGAUAAUAUUUUGAACCGCAUGGUUCAAAAGUGAAAGACGGUCUUGCUGUCACUUAUAGAUGGAUCCGCGCUGCAUUAGCUAGUUGGUAAGGUAACGGCUUACCAAGGCAACGAUGCAUAGCCGACCUGAGAGGGUGAUCGGCCACACUGGAACUGAGACACGGUCCAGACUCCUACGGGAGGCAGCAGUAGGGAAUCUUCCGCAAUGGGCGAAAGCCUGACGGAGCAACGCCGCGUGAGUGAUGAAGGUCUUCGGAUCGUAAAACUCUGUUAUUAGGGAAGAACAUAUGUGUAAGUAACUGUGCACAUCUUGACGGUACCUAAUCAGAAAGCCACGGCUAACUACGUGCCAGCAGCCGCGGUAAUACGUAGGUGGCAAGCGUUAUCCGGAAUUAUUGGGCGUAAAGCGCGCGUAGGCGGUUUUUUAAGUCUGAUGUGAAAGCCCACGGCUCAACCGUGGAGGGUCAUUGGAAACUGGAAAACUUGAGUGCAGAAGAGGAAAGUGGAAUUCCAUGUGUAGCGGUGAAAUGCGCAGAGAUAUGGAGGAACACCAGUGGCGAAGGCGACUUUCUGGUCUGUAACUGACGCUGAUGUGCGAAAGCGUGGGGAUCAAACAGGAUUAGAUACCCUGGUAGUCCACGCCGUAAACGAUGAGUGCUAAGUGUUAGGGGGUUUCCGCCCCUUAGUGCUGCAGCUAACGCAUUAAGCACUCCGCCUGGGGAGUACGACCGCAAGGUUGAAACUCAAAGGAAUUGACGGGGACCCGCACAAGCGGUGGAGCAUGUGGUUUAAUUCGAAGCAACGCGAAGAACCUUACCAAAUCUUGACAUCCUUUGACAACUCUAGAGAUAGAGCUUUCCCCUUCGGGGGACAAAGUGACAGGUGGUGCAUGGUUGUCGUCAGCUCGUGUCGUGAGAUGUUGGGUUAAGUCCCGCAACGAGCGCAACCCUUAAGCUUAGUUGCCAUCAUUAAGUUGGGCACUCUAAGUUGACUGCCGGUGACAAACCGGAGGAAGGUGGGGAUGACGUCAAAUCAUCAUGCCCCUUAUGAUUUGGGCUACACACGUGCUACAAUGGACAAUACAAAGGGUAGCGAAACCGCGAGGUCAAGCAAAUCCCAUAAAGUUGUUCUCAGUUCGGAUUGUAGUCUGCAACUCGACUACAUGAAGCUGGAAUCGCUAGUAAUCGUAGAUCAGCAUGCUACGGUGAAUACGUUCCCGGGUCU